CAGAGGUCCAAAAUAGAUUUGCACAGAGCUGGGCUACAGCCUCCCACAGGCUGAUUUCCACUGUCAGCCCUGUGGGCAGGAGCCAAACUCAGUGAGGGAGGGCCAAUGCCCUCAUUCACCCCGAGGGCCUCUGCCCCAGAGAGACCUCAACAGCAGGCCUGGCAUGGGGGCGGCUCGACUCUGCUCAGGCCCUGAGCCUUGGGACGGGGGAAGGGGUUGGGGCAGCAUAGGGCCAAGAGCCAAAAGCCAACACAGGUGUGGCCAGGUGUGAGGUAAGGACAGCCCUUCUGUCUGCGACUGGCCAGGUGGGCACUGAGGUGGGAACCCCCUUCCCCAUGCCCCUCGCACCUCUGAGCUCCUGACCGCCCCACCCCGAUCCUUUUCCUGCCCUCACAGCCUCCCCACUGCCAACAACCCUGGGGACCUGUCCUCCGAGGGGCAGAACAUCCAGCCUGAAAAGCGCCACCCCAGACCUGAAAGCCACUUCUGCCUCAGCUCAGCCUGGAGAAGAGGGAGGGUGUCCUCCCCCACCACCCACUCACCAGGUGGAGACCUGCCAGACGAAGCACCGCUGCCUCCACCCCACGGCCGGUGGCUGGAUGUUUAGGCGUGUCCAGGAGGAGAGAGGAGCCACUAGGCUCAACUUGGGGGGGUGGGGUUGAUGAUCAGGGACCACCCUGCCAUCUUCCCGAGUGUCCCCGCUGCUCCUAGACAGACCCAACCAGGCCUCUCUCUACAGAGUUAGGGUGAAGCCCUCGCCAGGGAAGAAAGUUCUGCCCCCACCCACACCCACUCCUUUCACCCUCCAGUCUGGAGGAAACACCCACCCUGCCCUUGGCUAAGUCACUCCUGAUGCCCUGUGGCCCUGGCUGGGGAAGAGGGGGUUGUGAGAAGCCAGAGGACAAAGCCCCAGCCAUUUGGAGGGCCCACUUGCUCCAUGUUCGAGCACUCACCAGGCGCAAACAAACACCUAGGGAGGCCCACCAUAGAGCCUCUCAGAAUCAACCCAAGGCAAAGAGAAGGGCAGGCGCAUGGACAGUGACACCCCCCCGGCAGCUUGUCCUGGCCUCAGGGAACCCAAGGCUCCUGGUUUCUGUGACAAGGGGCUUCACUGCCCUUCCAUACAGAUGGUCAGAUACACCCCCCACCAACCCUCCCCAGCCUGGAGGCUCUCAGAGCCCUGCAACUGGGGCCUCGAUUGGAGCCAGGACUCUGGAGUCCAGGGUGGGAUCUUGGCCUAGGAGAGUCCUGGGAGAGGCCCAGGCAGAGGGAGCAUCCUCACCGAUUACAGUGUAGUGAAGGAAGUUUAUUUGCGGAUGUGGGGAGAACAUGGCAGGGGCCCUUGGGCUGGCCAGCAAGGGGGCAAUCAGUGGAAACUGAAUACAGAUUCCCCAAGCCAGGUCCUAGGGAGGGCUCAGGAAUAGGCAAUAUGUAUGAUGGGGGUAGGGUGGGGGGUUGGCCUGAACCUAAAGGAGAGGCAGCAUGGUGCCUAAUUCCCAGGGCGGGAGCUGGCCAAGAAUCCUAAAGUUAGAAGAAAACAGGGAGGAAUCUGAAGGUAGUGUGUGUGUUUGACCCCAAAGGAGCCCCAGAGGCACAACGGCAGUGGAGACAGCUGAGGCCUCCUUCUCCGGCAAAUUUCAUCACUGCUUAGGGACUGUUCUCGGAGGCAGCUCACUCAGGCUCAGCAUCCUGGACCACAGGCCCUUGACCUUGACUGCCCUCUGCUCCUGGGCCGGGCCCUCUCCUCCUCACUCAGGCUCCCUCAGCACGGCCACCAGCUCCUUCUGUUCUCUGUGUAGAGCCUGACACCAAUGAGAGAGAACAGACAGACUGGGAGAUGAGAAAAUCCAAAUGCUUUCCCUCCACUGUCCUUGACUCCAGGCCUGGGUUUCCCCCCAGGAUGAUAAGGAAGGGAUCUGAAACUCAUAUCACAGGCCCAGCAGGGCAUAUUAGGAAAUCCGCCCCACUCAGCAGUUGUUUAUGGCAGGCUGGGUGCCAUGGCCACCUAGGCUGGGCCUCCCCAGAGAAGAGCCGAUUUUCAAAAAGGGCCCCUUAAGUGUCCCCCGAUCCUCUGACCUCACUGGAGAUUUCUAGCAGAGAAACUUUCUUAAAUUAAGUGGACUUGCAGCUGGGCUACAGACAUGGGAAUUGUAGUGAAAAAGGGCUCUUUGAGCCCACACAGGGCUCAGCACUCAACACUCAAUCCAGCUGACCCACUUCAAACAAUGGUUAGCAUCUGUAGCUGUAAUGGGAGAGGUGUGGCUAUAAGGGCAGGGGGCUUCCUUCUUCCUCUUAAAAUAGAAGCACUGAAUGUCAGAGCUGGCAGGGCGCUGGGGAUCACUACUUGGCCAAUUUGGAAGCCAAAGCCUAGACAGGGGAGUGACCCUUGGCCUCAUGGUGAUGAAGCGCCAAUGGCAGAGCAGCCGGAGGACUCAGCAAGGCAGCCCCGAGAGUACCCGAGACACAACUCUCAACUGUGGAACCUGUCCCAGGAGACGGCACUAGGCUGAGGCCUCGGUUAUACCACCUGGGUGUCUGCUGUGUAGAGCCUGGGCCACUGCACUACACUACACUACACUACACACCCCCAGGGCCAGUGUGUUACAGGAGGAGGCUGAGGGGGUGAAGAUAAGAGGAAGCAGAGCAAGGCACCAGCCUUUCUCCUGCUGCCGCCUCCCUGAGGCUUGGGGCCUUGCUGAGGCUGGGGCAGGGCCUUCAGAUUGCCCCUGACUGGUCUUGGGAAGAAGACCAGGGGACCUGAGAGCCAUGGAUCUGGGGACUUAUCCCCCUCGGGAAUAGGAGGGUCUGCCCCAGGAAGGGAGCUGUCGAGUGGCCACAGGUAAACAUAAGUCGGACAUCUAAAUGAUGAGCAGAACCCAAUAAUGGGCCACCAUUCAAGCCCACUAGAAACCCUCUUUUGGAACUGCAUUUUGAGCCGGCGAGAAAGUCCAUCUCAUCACUCUGUGGCCACACGUGCUAUCUGCGUCAUCCAGCCUGAUUACUCUCUUCCCCCUUAUUCAACAACUUGGCCCCAAGUGACUGUGGGCCACUUUCAGAAAUUGAGUUCACCCUCAAAGGACACGUAUUUGUUGCAUGGAGGAUAUAUCUUAGGUAUGUUGACGGCUCUAGAAGUCAUUCUCUGUACACAUUUUAAAAGUACUGGGCAGUGAUCACAUGGAGUAGAACCACCAUGGCUACAGAGGAUUAACCCUGAUCCUGACAUGGAGGAGCCAUCCCUGGGCAAGUCAGUUGCCCUCCCUGGGCCCGUUUUCUCCUCGGCUGCAGCAGGGGAGCACGUGCCUGAGGGCAGGGCCGGGACACUCACCUGCCAGGCCUGAUGCCGGGCCUGGCCCUGCAGCUGCAGCUCCUCCACCUGCCUGCGCCCGGCCAGGACGGCAUCUGCCAGCUGCCUGUUCUCGGCCUCCUGUUUCUGCACACGGCGCUGCAGGGCGUCCCGCUGCUGCAGAAAGUAGGGCACCACAGCACUGCACAGGUCCUUCUCUGGGAUCCCACUAGGGCGCCUGCAGGGCCGCAGGGGGCGCAGGGGUGGGGACAGAGAGUCGUCGUGUGGGGUAAGGCUUCUCCUUCCAAACCCAGCCAGUGGCAUUCCCACCUUCAGCCUCCAGCUGGCUGGCUCUCCAGGACUCUCCUGUAGUCCCUCUCACUCCCAAGAUCCAACCGCAUGGCUCCUGCUCCUGAGGGGACGCUAACCCCUUGUCCCUUAGCUUCAGCUCCCAGGAACCCAUCUCUCCUCUUCUCACCAACCCAAACCUUAGCCCUCCUCCUCAUCCACAGACACUCCCUCCAGCUGUAAACCUCCAGGGCUGGAGAUGAUUUCCUCAGUCCUUGUGACCAUGUGCCUUGCUGGUGCAUCCACACCAUGGGACUGUGAGCUGGAGAGAUGGGGAAGGUGGCGGCCUGAGAGCAGGCCCAGACCCCAAGAGGCCCUGGCUGGCUAAUGUGAGAAGAUAAAGGAAAGACAGGUCUGAGGAGGCAAGAGUUUAGGGGGUGCUGAGUGCCCAGAGUGAGGAGAUAGGCCAGUUCUGAUGGGCAGUGGGGUAGAAGCCACUGUAGGUUCUUUAAAAAUUCUUUCUCAGUUAUAAAAGUUAAUUCUCUUAAGUUAUGAAUGUCACAAAGCAUUAGCAAAUUGAAAAGCACAAAAAAGGUUUUUACUCCUCCUGACCUAGGAUUCUACUCAGGCAGGGAAUGGAGGCAGGAGGCAGGAGCUCAGGCCACUUGCCAUCUCGGUGGCCUCAACUCUCCACUCCUGUCCCCAGGGCCUCCUUCUCCAUCCUGCCCAGAACAACCUGGCAGCAGGGCUGCCCACUGGAAUGACAGCCCCGGGAGAGAAGGUCUUUCGUGUCUUAGUCACUGCUGAAUCUCCGGCAUCUACAACAGUAUUAGGCGUAUAGCCAGAUGGGUCCUGAAAUGAGCUCCCUGGGAAGAUUUCUCUCAUCCCAGUCACCUCAACCCCCUGGACUACAUGCGCUUGCCCCCAGCUCUCCUGCCCCAGAGGGGCUAUGCAUUUGUCUCUCUGUUCUGGGUCACUGUUUGGUGUUGGUCCUCUCCACCUGUCCAUGCCGGGGGGCAGGCAUCACCCUUCUCACCAAGCCGGCUCCUCGCAGUCCUUGCUUCCUUCCACAAUCGCAUCCAGCGCAUUCAGGACAGCUUCCAGGUUUCCCUCCGCUUUGAUUUCAGAGAUUUCCUCCUGAAGAGAAAAGAGGAAAGAGCUAUAGUAAUACCAGACAACUCCAUACGCUGAACUACUAACGGCACUUAGUAAAAUUUUAGCUAAUUUAAGUUCUGUCUCUAUACAAACAUUCCAACUUUUCUACAUGUGACUUUUAUAAUUAAGAAAAUAAAGUAUAAAAUAGAAUACA